UAUCAUUUCUUUCGAACUGUAUUUCUAGCCCGUUGCUGUUUCGAGCCGUUUGUUCCCGCUUCAGCGGCCUUCAGUCAGCGAGAGGUGACAGCCGUCGAGUGUUUUCAGAGAGAUUUAUGUCAGAAGAAAAGGCUCCAAACACUGCAGCUGACUUUGGAUUUAGCCGAGACAGCCUCUGAGGAGAAAUGUCAGACAGUCAGUGCUGCCAUUCUUCUGGAA